rnacentral:rRNA from 1 species
UACGUAGGUGGCAAGCGUUGUCCGGAAUUAUUGGGCGUAAAGCGCGCGCAGGUGGUUCCUUAAGUCUGAUGUGAAAGCCCACGGCUCAACCGUGGAGGGUCAUUGGAAACUGGGGAACUUGAGUGCAGAAGAGGAAAGUGGAAUUCCAAGUGUAGCGGUGGAAAUGCGUAGAGAUUUGGAGGAACACCAGUGGCGAAAGGCGACUUUCUGGUCUGUAACUGACACUGAGGCGCGAAAAGCGUGGGGAGCAAACAGG